rnacentral:rRNA from 1 species
UACGGAGGGUGCAAGCGUUAUCCGGAUUUACUGGGUUUAAAGGGUGCGUAGGUGGGUGGAUAAGUCAGCGGUGAAAUCUCCGGGCUUAACUCGGAAACUGCCGUUGAUACUAUCUGUCUUGAAUAUCCUGGAGGUGAGCGGAAUAUGUCAUGUAGCGGUGAAAUGCUUAGAUAUGACAUAGAACACCCAUUGCGAAGGUAGCUCACUACGGGAUUAUUGACACUGAGGCACGAAAGCGUGGGGAUCAAACAGG